GGAAAAUUGGGCUUGUUUGUGAGUGAACCCUACUUUGCUUCCUCUAUAAAGCUGCUUUCUCACACACACACACCUUGUGUUGUAGUGGUCCUUCCUUCUCACUAUGUAUGGGCAUGCCAUUUUCAUUUUCUUCCCUCUCUCUCACUCUCACUCUCACUCUCUUCCUCCAUUUCUAUUAAUUUCUAGCUAGUUGAAGUCUUGAAGAAGCAUUACAAAGCCCACUUCAUGCUUUUCCACAGCUUUCUUGAACUACAAAUUGCUUCAUUUCUCUCAAGAAUUGGGGUUUUAAGUUCAAGAAAGUUGUGGGAAAACAUGGUGAUUUUGGGCUAAAUUCUCUCUCCACCGCUGCCGCCGCCGCCUCAAUUCCACAUUCUUUUCAGAGAGGAGACGUUAAUGCUCCCUUGCAUUCUCAACUGUCACUGCAACUGCACAAUUAUGACUCUUUUAUACUCUCAAUCUACCUCUUCUAUGUAUAUAUACUUGCUUCACAAAAUUUCACAAAAUUCAAUGAAUAAAGUUAUGAUUACUUCUCAAUCAAUAUUCAACUAUUUAAUUGAUUCAUAAGUAUUUAGAUAGCUCUUUAAUAAUAUUUUGAGAUGAGUUUAGAAAAUCAAGAUUAAUAUCUAUUGGGUACCAAAAAUUGAAGGAGGUGUAUUUUUUCAUGCAAAUGAGACAGUUGCUUAGUUGAAAAUGAGUGACUUAGUUUGAGAAGAUCAGACAAAUAGGUAUGGCUUUUAUUUUGCAAAGGUCAGAAAAUAGUACUAAUAAUAGUUGUGUUGCAGAACACUAUCGCCUCUUUUUGUUCGAAUUUUCCCUCUUAUUUUUGAAGGGAUUAAUAAUUUGUUGGACCACUUGAUAUUCAGUUAUUACUUUAUUUAAAAAUAUUUAUUGGGCUAGAAAUAUGGAGUGUAAAAUGCUUCUUCUUGUUUCAAUAACCUGCUAAUUUCAAGCUAGCAGCAAUUAUUUUUCUUCUUCUGGUUUGAUCGUGGACCAAGUUUCGGCGGCGUGGUAAGAACACAAGGGGGUGCUAGGUGGAGCUUCAGCACCCCCGGCCAAUUUUACACAAUUUAAAAACUUUGUUUUUAUAAUGUAGGCAGUAACUCAAUUUUAGCACCCCUCGCAUAUUUGUAUGUAUAAAUAUGGGCACAAAAUUAUGAUAAAAGCUCAUAUUUUGGUGAUAUUUAUCUCUUCUACAUACUGUUUUAAGUUGUUGAAUCAAUGUAUUGGAUUUUCAAAAAAGUUAUAUAUUAGUAUUUUUGGAGAUAAUA